AUUGAACGCUGGCGGCAGGCCUAACACCUGCAAGUCGAGCGAGCGGCGGACGGGUGAGUAAUGUCUGGGAAACUGCCUGAUGGAGGGGGAUACCUACUGGAAACGGUAGCUAAUACCGCAUACCAUCAGAUGUGCCCAGAUGGGAUUAGCUAGUAGGUGGGGUAACUGCUGACCUAGGCGACGAUCCCUAGCUGUUCUGAGAGGAUGACCAGUAAACCUGGAAUGGAGACACGGUCCAGAAUCCGACGGGAGGCAGCAGUGGGGAAUAUUGCACAAGGGGCGCAAGCCUGAUGCAGCCAUGCCGCGUGUGUGAAGAAGGCCGUAGGGUUGUAAAGCAAUUUCAGCGGGGAGGCGUUACCCGCAGAAGAAGCACCGGCUAACUCCGUGCCAGCAGCCGCGGUAAUAC
rnacentral:rRNA from 1 species